rnacentral:ncRNA from 2 species
CUUGCUCUAACGGGGUGCCAGCGGGUUUUUUUGAUCCACUGGCUGAGAGGCGGUCUCGCCAACCCGAAGAACCUGAUCCGGCUCGUACCGGCGGAGGGAUUAGACGGCACAUCCUG